rnacentral:rRNA from 1 species
CCCUUAGAUGUUCUGGGCAGCACGCGCGCUACAAUGGUCUUCGCAAACGGAUGCAUUCUCGAAGGAGAAUGCCAAUCUUGGAAUCUAUGCCUUGGUCGGGACAGUUGCUUGCAAUUUUUCGACUCGAACCAGGAAUUCCUUGUAAUCGUGAUUCAUCACAUCACGAUGAAUACGUCCCUGCCCUUUGUACACACCGCCCGUCGCUCCUACCGAUCGAAGAGUUAGGUGAAUUGUUUUGAUCGAUAAGAUUUGACUAUGGUCAACUCUCGUUGUGAAAUUCUGUGAAUCUGACUGUUUAGAGGAUGGAAAAGUCGUAACA